GUCUACCACCUCGCUCUUUCAUUUUCAAGGUGUUAACUCAUAAAAUGUUCUCAAAUUUUCAGAAGUCUUGAAAUCCAAAGGUUCUUGCAUUCCGUUGUGUCUGGAUUAAAUUCACUGGCGUUUGGAUUAUUUCGGCUGGCGUUUGGAUUAAAUUGAGCGGCGCUCGGAUUAAAAUCACUGGCACUUGGAUUAAAUUGACUGGCGCUUAGAUUAAAUUGACUGGCGGUGAGAUUAAAUUGACUGGCGCUUGGAUUAAAUUGAGCGGGAAAACCUGUAGUACACUCUAGUUCCGUCGACCAGGUGAACGCAGACACUUUCUUGCUUGCGGCGCAGUAAACAUAGUUAUACUCAAAUGUUAUCGCGUAAAAUCUAAUUUUAUUUCUGCAGUAUGUUAUAUAACGUACAACACGCUACAUAAACUUUGUACGACUUUGAGAUGGAAGCAUAGUAACUCUAUGGAUGGAAGCAUGGUUUACUUUGGUUUGUUACUAGGAUAUUUAACAGGGAUAAGCGGGCUAGUUGGUGGUCGUUAAUGGAAUGCAUCAUGUAACCGCACUGAAAAACAAGGGACAAGGAAGGAACACACAAGACAGGCGCGGAUUUUUUUUUUUCCUUGUCCCUUGUUUUUCAGUGCGGUUACAUGAUGCAUUCCAUUGUUACUAGGACACACCAGGUUAUGCAUACUUGUGCGAUUCUGUUCCCGACUUAACGCCAAAGAAUAAUUAUUCAUUUAUUUUUGCAACAGCAAUAACAACCGUGCAUGUACUCAUCAAGUAUUUCUGGAAAUAAACAUGUAUUGUGAGAAAGUGUUGCGCCCUUGAGCGGAAUGCUACAAGUGUCGUCUGCUACGACGCCUGCUCGCUGCAAACUAUACUUUUCUCGGAGACGACAGGCACUUGCGAACACUCUCGCUCUUUCGAAAGGCUGUGUCGGCUGUCACGAUUGCUGAACGUCUUCAAGUACUGUUAAACGCAUCUGAUGCAGUGCUAGCUAGGAAGCUAUUGGCCUCCUACGAGUAUUUCGUCAUCAUAUCUUAUAUUGACGUACCGCUUCCGUAGCGUUAUGGCGUGGCUUUGCACUUACCCAUUUUGCGACACUAGACUUCAGCCAGGGAGCAGCAACCUUUCCUACCACAAGGGCACCACCAGGACUCUCAAGUUGGAGCAUGCUUACAUCGGCCAAUGUCCAUGCCAAAAAUCCUUUUUCAAGAGUAUGACCAAGUUCCAAGAGUAUGACCAUACCACGUGUGUACAGUAGAACCUCGUUGACAUGACCCCGUUUUGUAAAAUUUUCCAGUGCCAAUGUCCGUGAUCGAGAACACGAAAUAUGACCCUAUACAGUUCUGCUUUUAUUUGUACGGGUUAAUACAUUUCUGGGAAACACAAUCUUUUGGUACCACUGUUUAGUACAUCACCAAACUGCGAUCGUAUGAUAGGUGUUCACAUGAGACCUAGCCACCAUAAUAAGAAAAGGCGCGAGGCAUGUGCAAUCAAGGGCAGUAGUGCCCGCCAGGGCAGCUUCCCCGCAGUACUCGUCUGCCAGUGUCGUGUAAACCAAGAGGCACUCGGUUUCCUUUACCAGCAAAUCUUGUGGGCUGUCGCACGAUGCACUCAGUUAUCCCCUCUAGACCUACCGUGAUAAGCAUCUUUACCUAUAUGUUUCAGUGCGUUUGGCGUGGUGCCAUUGGAAGCGUCUACUCCAUGCCCUUAACACGAAGUGAGUGGCAUGUUUUGCUUUGGUGACAUUGUAUUCUACCAUCGCCCACCAGCUUGACCUUGUUUCAUGUCACUGUCUCAAAACACGCAACAGGAACACAACAUCAUGGGCCUCGAGCCCCACCAGCUUGGCACAUGUCAGCGCCUCACGCUGCAAUAAUUGACGCAAUGCUUCUCAUCAGGUAGCUCUCAGCUGCAGUUGUGUUUGCCAAUUUUUUUUUGUGACUUCGGUUCGUUUGUUCUUUCUCGUAAUUUUUUUUUUCAAGACGUAUGAAUGAGGUUCUACUGUACUGUGCUUCCUACAGUUACACAGAGAAAGCUUGUGGUAAUACAGGGUAGUGAAGGCCUUUAAUUGCUAUGCUUCUUGAUGAUCCUGGGCAUCUUGAAGAUGCGUCCUGCACAAUUAGUGCGCUGGUUGCUCAACUUGGAGAAAAAAUUGGAGUUCACACUUGCCGUUUGUCACUUUAAAUUGUAGGUUUUUACUUAUGCUUACUUAUGUCAUGUCAUGUGUUAGUAAACAUAAAUGCACAAUGUAUUAUGCCAUGGUGAAUCAUUGAAGUUAGUGACACACUAAAGGUUCUUUGUCUAAUAAACUGUAUAUAGUAAACUUCUGAUUUUUUGGGGUCCCUAGGGGACGCGAGAACAGCCGAAAAAUCAGGCUGUCCGAAGAAAUUAAUGCAGCGGCCCCCAAUGUCUCAAAUCACCACAGGCAUGUCUGAAAUAGCUCUGAAGGCCUGUAAGUACACUUAUUAGUCGGAUCGGUGCUCAUACUAUCACAGGAGACGGCGGGUGCACACACGCAUAAUUAAUGAAUGCAUAGUGUACCGUGACAAUUACCCCUUCCCACUCUUGGUAUGCUUCACCAUGUAGCAUGAGGCGAAGCAGACUUUCUAACCGGCACUAUGCAACACUGUGGUGGCUAUGGCUGUCAGUGGAUUUGCGUCCCAGGCUGCCCUUCGAGGCGGGCAAGAUAAUCAACAUGGCAGUGGUGGUAGCUUUGAUAACUCUCUUUUGGUGCUGCAGUCAUGGCAAAAAGUCCGGAAAAUCGGAUGGUGAAGCAUCUUUGCUUUUGAAAUUUCAGAUGUUCUUAUACAUUGAUUCUAUGGGGUAUGUGGCAGUUCCAUGAAGGCAUCCGAAAAAUCGGCCAUUAACUGUAUCCCCCAUGUUCAUUCCUAUAUAUUUUGUUGCAUGCAACUUGUAAGUCUAUGCGUGUCCCGCCUGAAGGAAAGGUAUAAAAAAAAGGAUAGACAGUGCUGUGGUGUGCAGACUUCUUUACUUUUCCGUGCAUCAUCUGUGUGCUGAUUAAGUAGAAGAUGAAUAUGCCGGAACAUAAGGGAGUUGGUGAUAUGGGCCCAGCAUAUUCUACUACAGAAAUUGCAGGCCACAAUGCCAUCACACCCACGUCUCAUCAGAGAUUUUUGCAAUCUGGUGCUAGUGUCGACAGGAACUGCAAGCACUACGGUUCAUCAAGCAUCACAAUGAAGUGGAGCACUACAAGGACUUGCCUAAACUUUGGCUUCGAGUGGCCUUGUGACUUUGCAAAUUGAUCAUUUCUAACAAUAGGCACUGCUUAAAAACAUGGUGACCAUAAUGUGUUUUCAGCUCUUGCAGCUGCUUCUGGUGCUUGCAGUACACAAAAAACAUGGCAAGUUAUGCCGAAGGAGCUAUUGCUAGGAGGCUUAGUUUGGGCAACACCUAUAGUGCGAUGCAAGUGCAACAAUAUGUGGUGAUUAUGCACGUGCACAUGAUCAUAUUACCUUAAAGAGCUUAGAAAAGUUAUGACUGCUCUAAUAUUUAGAAUUAAAAAAAAUUAAGCAUAAUAAUGCAACACAGUCUGAAGCCAAAGCACAAAGAUGCUCCAUCUUCGUGAUUGUGGAAGAAUUCCUGCAUUUAAGCCAUCAUUUCCAUGGUAGCCAAACGACUGCAGAACCAGAGUUCCCUUUAGGAAAUUCCAUGGACAAGAGAUACCGUAUUUACUUGCAUAAUAAUCGCACCCCUGAAUUUUGUUGUCAAAAUUUGAUUUUCUUUUUCUUUCCCGUGUAAUGAUCACACCUCGAACUAGCUGCAGCGAUAUGUCGUGUGCCAAGUCUAGCUAAUGAUGAUCGCGCUUACCAUCUGUCAAAUGCUGCGCGAAUGACUCUUCCCAGACAUACCAAGCGGUCUGCACGCACCCAACAUUCUUAAGCAGAUACCCCAUUUCAUUCCUUUCAUCACUUCCAUAAAAAAAAAAAAAAAAGCUACAACCAAACUUGCCUCGGCUUUAUUAUUUGUAGGCUUCAUAAUGGUUUUGGUCAACAACAACA